rnacentral:rRNA from 1 species
ACGCUAGCUACAGGCUUAACACAUGCAAGUCGAGGGGCAGCAUGGUCUUAGCUUGCUAAGGCCGAUGGCGACCGGCGCACGGGUGAGUAACACGUAUCCAACCUGCCGUCUACUCUUGGACAGCCUUCUGAAAGGAAGAUUAAUACAAGAUGGCAUCAUGAGUCCGCAUGUUCACAUGAUUAAAGGUAUUCCGGUAGACGAUGGGGAUGCGUUCCAUUAGAUAGUAGGCGGGGUAACGGCCCACCUAGUCUUCGAUGGAUAGGGGUUCUGAGAGGAAGGUCCCCCACAUUGGAACUGAGACACGGUCCAAACUCCUACGGGAGGCAGCAGUGAGGAAUAUUGGUCAAUGGGCGAGAGCCUGAACCAGCCAAGUAGCGUGAAGGAUGACUGCCCUAUGGGUUGUAAACUUCUUUUAUAAAGGAAUAAAGUCGGGUAUGCAUACCCGUUUGCAUGUACUUUAUGAAUAAGGAUCGGCUAACUCCGUGCCAGCAGCCGCGGUAAUACGGAGGAUCCGAGCGUUAUCCGGAUUUAUUGGGUUUAAAGGGAGCGUAGAUGGAUGUUUAAGUCAGUUGUGAAAGUUUGCGGCUCAACCGUAAAAUUGCAGUUGAUACUGGAUAUCUUGAGUGCAGUUGAGGCAGGCGGAAUUCGUGGUGUAGCGGUGAAAUGCUUAGAUAUCACGAAGAACUCCGAUUGCGAAGGCAGCCUGCUAAGCUGCAACUGACAUUGAGGCUCGAAAGUGUGGGUAUCAAACAGGAUUAGAUACCCUGGUAGUCCACACGGUAAACGAUGAAUACUCGCUGUUUGCGAUAUACAGCAAGCGGCCAAGCGAAAGCGUUAAGUAUUCCACCUGGGGAGUACGCCGGCAACGGUGAAACUCAAAGGAAUUGACGGGGGCCCGCACAAGCGGAGGAACAUGUGGUUUAAUUCGAUGAUACGCGAGGAACCUUACCCGGGCUUAAAUUGCAGAUGAAUUACGGUGAAAGCCGUAAGCCGCAAGGCAUCUGUGAAGGUGCUGCAUGGUUGUCGUCAGCUCGUGCCGUGAGGCGUCGGCUUAAGUGCCAUAACGAGCGCAACCCUUGUUGUCAGUUACUAACAGGUUCCGCUGAGGACUCUGACAAGACUGCCAUCGUAAGAUGUGAGGAAGGUGGGGAUGACGUCAAAUCAGCACGGCCCUUACGUCCGGGGCUACACACGUGUUACAAUGGGGGGUACAGAGGGCCGCUACCACGCGAGUGGAUGCCAAUCCCAAAAACCUCUCUCAGUUCGGACUGGAGUCUGCAACCCGACUCCACGAAGCUGGAUUCGCUAGUAAUCGCGCAUCAGCCACGGCGCGGUGAAUACGUUCCCGGGCCUUGUACACACCGCCCGUCAAGCCAUGGGAGCCGGGGGUACCUGAAGUGCGUAACCGCGAGGAGCGCCCUAGGGUAAAACUGGUGACUGGGGC